rnacentral:rRNA from 2 species
CGAACGCUGGCGGCGUGCUUAACACAUGCAAGUCGAACGGAAAGGCCCUUCGGGGUACUCGAGUGGCGAACGGGUGAGUAACACGUGGGUGAUCUGCCCUGCACUUUGGGAUAAGCCUGGGAAACUGGGUCUAAUACCAAAUAUGACCAUGCACUUCCUGGGUGUGUGGUGGAAAGCUUUUGCGGUGUGGGAUGGGCCCGCGGCCUAUCAGCUUGUUGGUGGGGUAAUGGCCCUACCAAGGGCGACGACGGGUAGCCGGCCUGAGAGGGGUGACCGGCCACACUGGGACUGAGAUACGGCCCAGACUCCUACGGGAGGCAGCAGUGGGGAAUAUUGCACAAUGGGCGCAAGCCUGAUGCAGCGACGCCGCGUGAGGGAUGACGGCCUUCGGGUUGUAAACCUCUUUCAGCACAGACGAAUCGCAAGUGACGGUAUGUGCAGAAGAAGGACCGGCCAACUACGUGCCAGCAGCCGCGGUAAUACGUAGGGUCCGAGCGUUGUCCGGAAUUACUGGGCGUAAAGAGCUCGUAGGUGGUUUGUCGCGUUGUUCGUGAAAACUCACAGCUUAACUGUGGGCGUGCGGGCGAUACGGGCAGACUUGAGUACUGCAGGGGAGACUGGAAUUCCUGGUGUAGCGGUGGAAUGCGCAGAUAUCAGGAGGAACACCGGUGGCGAAGGCGGGUCUUUGGACAGUAACUGACGCUGAGGAGCGAAAGCGUGGGGAGCGAACAGGAUUAGAUACCCUGGUAGUCCACGCCGUAAACGGUGGGUACUAGGUGUGGGUUUCCUUCCUUGGGAUCCGUGCCGUAGCUAACGCAUUAAGUACCC